rnacentral:piRNA from 1 species
ACAGAGAGGAAUGCCAGGUGUCACAAGCU